UACGUAGGGUGCGAGCGUUAAUCGGAAUUACUGGGCGUAAAGGGUGCGUAGGCGGUUUGUUAAGUCUGUUGUGAAAUCCCCGGGCUCAACCUGGGAAUGGCAAUGGAUACUGGCAAGCUAGAGUGUGUCAGAGGAUGGUGGAAUUUCCGGUGUAGCGGUGAAAUGCGUAGAGAUCGGAAGGAACAUCAGUGGCGAAGGCGACCGCCUGGCCCAACACUGACGCUGAGGUGCGAAAGCGUGGGUAGCAAACAGG
rnacentral:rRNA from 1 species